GGGGAAAUGCCCGAGUGGCUAAAGGGGGCGGACUGUAAAUCCGUUGACUGAGUCUACGAUGGUUCGAAUCCAUCUUUCCCCACCA
rnacentral:tRNA from 1 species